AACCUUACCUACCCUUGACAUGGCUGGAAUCCCCGAGAGAUCGGGGAGUGCUCGAAAGAGAACCAGUACACAGGUGCUGCAUGGCUGUCGUCAGCUCGUGUCGUGAGAUGUUGGGUUAAGUCCCGCAACGAGCGCAACCCUUGUCAUUAGUUGCUACGAAAGGGCACUCUAAUGAGACUGCCGGUGACAAACCGGAGGAAGGUGGGGAUGACGUCAAGUCCUCAUGGCCCUUAUGGGUAGGGCUUCACACGUCAUACAAUGGUACAUACAGAGCGCCGCCAACCCGCGAGGGGGAGCUAAUCGCAGAAAGUGUAUCGUAGUCCGGAUUGUAGUCUGCAACUCGACUGCAUGAAGUUGGAAUCGCUAGUAAUCGCGGAUCAGCAUGUCGCGGUGAAUACGUUCCCGGG
rnacentral:rRNA from 1 species